AUACGGAGGGUGCAAGCGUUAAUCGGAAUUACUGGGCGUAAAGCGCGCGUAGGCGGUCAUGUAAGUCGGGUGUGAAAUCCCCGGGCUCAACCUGGGAACUGCAUUCGACACUGUAUGACUUGAGUUUGGUAGAGGGGAGUGGAAUUCCACAUGUAGCGGUGAAAUGCGUAGAUAUGUGGAGGAACACCAGUGGCGAAGGCGACUCCCUGGCCCAAAACUGACGCUGAGGUGCGAAAGCGUGGGUAGCAAACAGGAUUAGAAACCCUAGUAGUCC
rnacentral:rRNA from 1 species